AUAUGAGCAGAGCACUAUAAUCAUUUGACUGACUGCGUUCGAUCGAUCGAUGACCUAUCGGCUGAGACUUAAGAAAAUAAAUUUAGUUUUGAAGAUGUACUGUUAUCAUACAGACAGAAGCUCUAAGAAUUUCAAGUCAGAAUGAAGGCUGUUCUUCUAGUGCAGCCUUUUGAAAGAUUCCAACUUCUGCCAGAAAGAGCAUUUCCCCUGCUUCAAAAGCCGAAGGAGGGGAAUGGUUAGAGAACUCUGGGGAAUAAUAUAUUGUUUAGCACUUGGACGAAAGCCAAUCUAGUCAAUCAGAUUGUGAGGAAUCCAAAAGGCUGAAUGGAAAUUCAUACAACGCAGUGCUCUUCAAUCUCCAAUUCCGAUACUUGAUUUUUCUGAAAUCCAAAAGCCUGAAAUCUAGUAUAGGUCAAAUGAAGAUUAAAUUUCCUGUUAUAGAACCCAUGAAAGAGUGGUAUAAACAAUAAGCAAUCCAAUACAGCACACAAGCCACUUCACCUCAACAGGUUCUGCCAAAAGAGAAUUUUCCAAUCCUGCUUUUCCCAGAACAAAGAUGUUUGAGCACUAGAAUACACUGAUUGAGGCAUUCAAGAGCUGCCCCUUUUUUUCUCUCUGUCUCUGAUGGCCGACUACUCUAGUAGUAGUUGGUUUCAAGCAUUGUUUUAUUCAAGUCUCAUUUAUCUCUUUUCAUAACCAUGAUCUGCUUCAAAACUUCAAGAGAUCUUCUAAGUACUGUGAUUGUUUGGGGGGGAGGGUUUGAUUGGAUGAUAAGGUGAGAGGUGUUAUAAGUAAGAGCUCUUGGAUUCACGUCCUCUCACUUACCCCCAAAAAAAAAAAAAAAAGACAGAGAGAGAGAGAGAGAGAUAAAAUAU
rnacentral:lncRNA from 1 species